UUCUGCCUUUCCAGUGACAAAAUGGU
rnacentral:piRNA from 1 species